GCAGCAGUUUGCAGCACGUCUUUUAAUUGCUGUUAACAUCGAAUCUGGCUUAGCUGCUUUCCUUUGUCAUUGUAAAUUAGAAAAAACAUAUUUCCCAUCAAUGUUUAUCUAACCGCUGCAAAAUUUGCCUGGUGUGUUUAGCUUGUUAAAAGACGAAUGCCGAUUUUACCGGGACCAGUACUACUGGAGGGGUCCUUAUCGCAUGCUGCAAUUGGAUUUUAAAGAGCUCUGUUCACCAGUGACUGGAAUGUCAAGGGGAAGUGCAAGUACAACAUCCCAGGCGUUUCUGUUCAUGAAACUGGUGAUCGAGUAUGCCUAUACCCACUCUGUGCGCAUCACGGUCAAUAACAUGGAGAGCCUCCUGGCGGCCGGUGAUCAGUUAAACAUCCCGGGCAUUGUACAGCACUGCAGUGACUUCCUGACUGUCCAGCUCUGCGUCAGUAACUGCAUUGGCAUUUACAGCACGGCGAACAGCUAUUGACUCCCCGAGCUGCGCCAGUCUGCCUUCCACUUUCUCCUGGAAAACUUCACGGAUGUCGCCAGCACCUCACAGGAAUUCCCGGAGCUCACCCUGCACCAGCUCUGUGAGGUCAUUGAGAAGGAUGAGCUCAGUGUAGAACAGGAGGAAGUGGUCUUUGACGCCAUCCUGCGCUGGAUCUUCCAUGAGCCUGCCAGCCUCAAGGCCCACAUUUCUAUGCUGUUGCCUAAGGUGUGAAUGGCUCGCAUGGACGGAAAAUACAUCAAGUAUGUGAUGAACCAUGACCUAGUGAAGGGCAAUGAGGAGUUCAGGCCCAUUAUUAAUGACACUUUGAAGGUCAUGGACCUGGACAUUAAUGGUCCCCCACAAUCGGACUUUGAGCACCCGCUGGUCCGCCCACGCCUGCCCGCUGACAUCUUGCUGGCCAUUGGUGGCUGGAAUGACCGGCCAAGCAAUGUGAUCGAGGCGUAUGAUUCGAGAGCCGACCGCUGGGUAAAUGUGACGCAGCAGGGUGACAAACCCCGGGCCCACCAUGGCAUGGUGUACCUCAA